rnacentral:rRNA from 1 species
GUGCCAGCAGCCGCGGUAAUACGUAGGGUGCGAGCGUUAUCCGGAAUUACUGGGUGUAAAGGGUGCGUAGGCGGCUAUUUAAGUCAGAUGUGAAAACUCAGGGCUCAACCUUGAGGCUGCAUCUGAAACUGAGUAGCUAGAGUGUGGGAGAGGAAAGUGGAAUUCCGAGUGUAGCGGUGAAAUGCGUAGAGAUUCGGAGGAACACCAGUAGCGAAGGCGGCUUUCUGGACCAUAACUGACGCUGAGGCACGAAAGCGUGGGGAGCAAACAGGAUUAGAUACCCUAGUAGUCC